rnacentral:rRNA from 1 species
GGAGACCGGUACAGUGGCGGACGGGUGAGUAACGCGUGGGAAUCUACCCGGUAGUGGGGAAUAACCCCCCGAAAGGGGAGCUAAUACCGCAUAAGCCCCAAGGGGUAAAGAUGGCCUCUUUCUAAUGCUAUCCCUUCCGGAUGAGCCCGCGUCCUAUUAACUAUUUGGUGAGGUAAUGGCUUACCAAGGCUACGAUGGGUAGCCGGUCGGAAAGGAGGAACGGCCACCCUGGGACUGAAACACGGCCCAGACUCCUACGGUAGGCACCAGUGGGGAAUUUUGCGCAGUGGGGGAAACCCUGACCCAACAACGCCACGUGGAUGACAAAGGCCUUCCGGUCGGAAUGUCCUGUUCUGGGGAAAGAAUAAGUAAAGGGCCAAUACCCCUUUACCCUGACGGUACCCCGCCAUAAAGCUCCGGCCAAUUAUGUGCCAGCA